rnacentral:rRNA from 1 species
ACGUACACUCCUGCGGGAGGCAGCAGUGGGGAAUAUUGGACAAUGGGCGCAAGCCUGAUCCAGCCAUGCCGCGUGAGUGAUGAAGGCCCUAGGGUUGUAAAGCUCUUUCACCGGUGAAGAUAAUGACGGUAACCGGAGAAGAAGCCCCGGCUAACUUCGUGCCAGCAGCCGCGGUAAUACGAAGGGGGCUAGCGUUGUUCGGAUUUACUGGGCGUAAAGCGCACGUAGGCGGACUAUUAAGUCAGGGGUGAAAUCCCGGGGCUCAACCCCGGAACUGCCUUUGAUACUGGUAGUCUUGAGUUCGAGAGAGGUGAGUGGAAUUCCGAGUGUAGAGGUGAAAUUCGUAGAUAUUCGGAGGAACACCAGUGGCGAAGGCGGCUCACUGGCUCGAUACUGACGCUGAGGUGCGAAAGCGUGGGGUGCAAACAGGAUUAGAUACCCUGGUAGUCCCA